CACACCGGGACUGAGACACGGCCCGGACUCCUACGGGAGGCAGCAGUGGGGAAUAUUGGACAAUGGGGGGAACCCUGAUCCAGCCAUGCCGCGUGUGUGAAGAAGGCCUUUUGGUUGUAAAGCACUUUAAGCAGUGAAGAAGAAGUUAUGGUUAAUACCCAUAAUGGAUGACAUUAGCUGCAGAAUAAGCACCGGCUAACUCUGUGCCAGCAGCCGCGGUAAUACAGAGGGUGCGAGCGUUAAUCGGAAUUACUGGGCGUAAAGCGAGCGUAGGUGGCUUAAUAAGUCAGAUGUGAAAUCCCCGGGCUUAACCUGGGAACUGCAUCUGAAACUGUUCGGCUAGAGUAGGUGAGAGGGAAGUAGAAUUCCAGGUGUAGCGGUGAAAUGCGUAGAGAUCUGGAGGAAUACCGAUGGCGAAGGCAGCUUCCUGGCAUCAUACUGACACUGAGGUUCGAAAGCGUGGGUAGCAAACAGGAUUAGAUACCCUGGUAGUCCACGCCGUAAACGAUGUCUACUAGUCGUUGGGUCCCUUGAGGACUUAGUGACGCAGCUAACGCAAUAAGUAGACCGCCUGGGGAGUACGGCCGCAAGGUUAAAACUCAAAUGAAUUGACGGGGGCCCGCACAAGCGGUGGAGCAUGUGGUUUAAUUCGAUGCAACGCGAAGAACCUUACCUGGUCUUGACAUACACAGAAUCUUGUAGAGAUACGAGAGUGCCUUCGGGAAUUG
rnacentral:rRNA from 1 species